rnacentral:rRNA from 1 species
UACGUAGGACCCAAGCGUUAUCCGGAAUUACUGGGCGUAAAGAGUUGCGUAGGUGGCAUUAUAAGUGGAGCGUGAAAGCGUGUGGCUCAACCAUACAGCUGCGUUCCAAACUAUAAAGCUUGAGUAUGAGAGGGGUAGAUGGAAUUUCUAGUGUAGGAGUGAAAUCCGUAGAUAUUAGAAGGAACACCGAUAGCGUAGGCAGUCUACUGGCUCAUUACUGACACUAAGGCACGAAAGCGUGGGGAGCAAACGGG